rnacentral:lncRNA from 1 species
CUCGGAGCUUUGCUGAAACUGCACAAAAAAUCGAGCUGGGGGGUUCCCUGGUCCCCGAUGUUGGGGCGGAGAGCGCGGCGCCGAGGGAGGGGGCGGCGCAGACCGGCCUAGGGGACACCUGGUCGAGCGCAGCCGCCGCUCCGCUCGAGCCCUGCGCUCCAGUGCCCCCACUGGCUGGAGAGCUCGCCCAGACCGGGGGUCUUCCUCCGUCGCUGACAGAUUUUAACCAUUAGAAGAAUACCAGUUCUGGAAAACAACCAAAGUUUCUUUGAUUGAAUGCCCAUGUAAUGCAUUGGAAUAUGAUAGGCGAUUAAGGUUUAACAAUGUUAAAAUGAAGAUAUUACUAAAAUGGCCCUCUAAAUAGCCCAACAAUUAUUAUUUUCUUUGUCCUAUGGAUUUGGCUUUGAAAGAUGUGCUGCUCUUAAUAAGGUCUUCACACUGUGUUAGAAAUAAGGAAGGUGAUAAAGAAUGCCUGUAAGCAUUAAUUCUCUCUCUCGGGCAGAAACCUACGUGUUCCUCUUCCAGAGAGCUGGUGAAGCCAAAGGCAUUCUCAUAAUGAUGCGCUACACCGACUGACAUUUACCAACUGUGUCAAAGCUACAGGAGCCAGGUAGACACUGCUGGAACUUUAACGGGAAUCAAACAAGUCUAUAAGAAGCACUGAGCUGUGCCACUACCCAAUCAGUGUUCUUCCAGAGCACACAAACGAAAGUGGGAGGAGCCUUCCAAUGAGAACUGUUGUGUGAUUAAUCAAUGAGGCUGACUAAAGCACACACUUAUAAUCCCAAUACUCAGAAAGACAGAGGAAGAAGGAUAUCAGCGCAAGGCCAACAAGGCUUCAAAGCAAGUACCAACCCAGUAUGGACCAUGAGACCCUAUUUCAGAAACAAAUAAUAAAAGCUUGAUGAAGCUGCAAAAAUUACUCAUUUUAUCAAUCCCUAUUCUUGUAUACUGAACUAUACACAAAGGCACUUGUGUGGCCAGUGGGUGCGGUCAGAAAGGAGUACAGGCUCACGUGACUCAGCUACAAGCUGAGACAGCUGCUGCUAUUAGGAAAACAAUGGAAGCCAGCAGUAUGUAGAUUUAGGGAGCUGACAAAUCCUGAAAAUGAAUAAAAUGAGCUGGGUACUUCCAGAAACACGAUACUUCUUGACCAUGAAAAGGAAAAAGGCUGGGUUUUUAUGUUAAAAUUUGAAUUUUUGCAAAAUGUACUUAUAAUCUUCCCAUUAAAGAUGCUGAUAAAUAGUAAAGUUAA